rnacentral:tRNA from 1 species
GUCCCCAUCGUCUAGCCCGGCCCAGGACUCUGGCCUUUCACGCCAGCAACGCGGGUUCAAAUCCCGCUGGGGACGCCA